UACGGGGGGGGCAAGCGUUGUUCGGAAUUACUGGGCGUAAAGGGCUCGUAGGCGGCCAACUAAGUCAGACGUGAAAUCCCUCGGCUUAACCGGGGAACUGCGUCUGAUACUGGAUGGCUUGAGUGUGGGAGAGGGAUGCGGAAUUCCAGGUGUAGCGGUGAAAUGCGUAGAUAUCUGGAGGAACACCGGUGGCGAAGGCGACAUCCUGGACCACGACUGACGCUGAGGAGCGAAAGCCAGGGGAGCAAAGCGGG
rnacentral:rRNA from 1 species